GUUCUUGGUCCUUUCGUGGUUCUGAUCGUAUUUUCUUAUUGCAUCUUUUAGGAAUCUCUUGGAAAAUUCCUUCACCUUUUGGAACAAUUUCUUCUAUAUACUUAUUUGCUUGUCCAUUCAACAGGCAGGGAAGCAAUCCCUGACGUCAAGAAGAUUAUAUUCCGAGCAUCUGGAGCGAGAACUCCUAAACCCUGAAUAUGCAUCUGUAUAGCUGUGAGAAUUGGACUGGAGCCCCCCAAGUUUAUUUCAUCUCAUUCACUAGAAAGUGAUGGUUCUUAGUCAUCAAAACUCAGGACAGCUGUACAGAUAAGCUGCAGUGAAGACCAGAGAUUCUGCCUGACAUCAUGAAGAAAGGCAAGAGAGAAAAAAUUAUUAAGAACCUCCUACUCCCUAGGCAUAAUGUUAGGUGCUGAGGAUACAGAUGAAAAUGUAAGAUGGUUCUUUUCUUCCAAAGACUUCUAAUCCUAAAGACAACAUAGAAAUGAAGGGUGGCCAAGCAAUGGAACUUUGGUCUAAAACACUAAAAAAAUAACAAGAAUGGUGGAUGGAACCAACCAGAGGAAAGGAAAUAUUCUCUGGAGAUAAGAGGAAAAGAAAAAAAAAAGUAGUCCCUGAUCUCCUGGAGUUUACCCUUGAAUGGGUGAGAUAGCAGGCACAUAAUCUGGAUAAUUUAAGACACAUAUAGAAGAACAAAAGGUAACUUCAAG
rnacentral:lncRNA from 1 species